rnacentral:lncRNA from 1 species
GUGCUCCUCACUUCAGCAUUAUGGGUCCCCUGUCAACCCUUUCCGGAGGUGCGGAUUUGUGGAUCCCUCCUCCCACUAGUCACAGAACCAGGCCAAACCAGCCUGUAAACCACUGACAGUAUCAGCUUGACAUAUCUGAAAAAUUAAUUUCCCUCCAAAAUGAAGAAAGAAAUGAACAAACAAAACAAUUACAAUCACUCAAUCAGUGUGAUAGUGCCAAAGUACA